AUUUCUUUCCAACUGCCUUUCUUUUGGUAACACCUUUCCUUAGCUUAUCUUUGCUAAAUAACCUUUAGUUGCCACUCCCUUAAAGGGGUAUUCAAGUUGUGACUAAUCCUAAAAUGGAGAACCAGUAGUUUAAAUUGGUUGAUAUCAAUGACUCCAGGGAACAUGGUACCAUCACAAAGUCCCAGGUCCCUUGUACAAAUAACUACAAGAACAUACAGUAGGAAAAUUUGUUUGUUUGAUUUUGUUAUUCCUUUUCCACAUUAAUUAAUUAGUCACUUUUCAUCUGGAUUACAUCCCUCUCCUCCUCUCCUCCCAGUCCUCCCCACUCUGGCACAGGCAUCAAUCUACCCUGGCACAUUGAGUCUCAUCAGGACUAAGCUCAUCCUCUCCCACUGAGGCCAAACAAGGCAGCUCAACUAGGGGAAACAUGUCCAAAGGCAGGCAAAAGAGUCUGAGUUGGAGUCAGACACAGCCCCUGCCUGCUCCAGUUGUUGGGAAACCCACAUGAAGACCAAGUUUCACAUCUGCUACUAUAUAUAGGGCCCAGGUCCAUUCCAUGCAUGCUCUUUGGUUGGUAGUUCAGUCUCCGUGAGCCCCAGGGGCCCAGAUUAGUUGGUUCUGUAAGUCUGUGUGUGAUGCCCUUGACCUCUCUGGCUCCCUCAAUCCCUCCCCUGACUCUUCCACAAGACUCCCUGAGCUCUGCCUGAUGUUUAGCUGUAGGUCUCUGCAUCUGUUCCCAUCAGCUGAUGGAUGAAGCCUCUCAGCUAGACUCCUGUCUACAAGCAUAGCAGAGUUAAGUUAAUAGUGUCAGGGAUGACUUUCUCCUGUGUGAUAUGUCUCAAAUUGGGCCAGUCAUUGGUUGGCCAUGCCCUCAAUCUCUAUUCCAUCUUUAUCCCUAUACAUCCUGUAGACAGGGAAAAUUUUGGGUUGAAGGUUUUGUGGGUGGGGUGGUAUCCUUCUCUCUCCACUAGAAGUCUUGCCUAGCUACAGGAGAUAGCAACUUCGGGCUCCAUAUCUCUUGUUGCUAGGAGUCUCAGGGUCACCCUCAUAACUUCCCAGGAAUCUCUCCCGUCCCAGGUCUCCAACUUGUUCUAGAAAUGCUCCUGGCUGAUUUCCCUUCUCUCUCAGCCCUAUCACCCUCAACCCUCACUCUACCCAUACCUGAUCCCCACCUCUGUUGUUGCCCAUCCUACUCCCUCUCCCACCACUCUCCAUCCACUUCUUAUGUCUAUUUCACUUACCCUUCUGAGUGAGAUUCAAGCAUCCUCCCUUGGGCUCUGCUACUUUGGGGUCUGUGGAUUGUAGUCUGGUUAUCCUGUACUUUAUGGCUAAUACCACUUCUAAGUGAGUACAUACAUGUGUGUUUUUCUGGAUCUGUGCUCAGGAUAUUUUCCAGUUUCAUCCAUUCUUCCGAAAUUUCAUGAUGUCCUUGUUUUUUAAUAGCCAAGUAGUAUUCCAUUGUGUAAAUGUACCACAUUUUCUUUAUCCAUUCUUCAGUGGACAUCUGGGAUGUUCCUAGUUUCUGGCUAUUACAAAUAGAGCUGCUAUGAGCAUAAUUGAGCAAGCACAUCUUUUGGGAAUAUGCCCAGGAGUCUUGAGAUACAACUAUUUCCAGUGUUCUGAAAAAACACCAAAUUGAUUUCCAAAAUGGUUGUACAAGCUUACACUCCCACCAGCAAUGGAGGAGUGGUCCCUUGCUCCACAUCCUCACCAACAUGUGCUGUCCUUGAGUUUUUGAUCCUAGCCAUUCCAAUGAGUAUAAGAUGGAAUCUCAGGGUUGUUUUGAUUUGCAUUUCCCUGGUGACUAAGGACAUUGAACCUUAAGUGUUUCUUGGCCAUUCAACAUUCCUCUGUUGAGAAUUUUCUGUUUAGCUACAUACCCCAUUUUUUAGAUUAGGAUAUUUGGUUUAUUGGUGUCUAACUUCUUAAGUUCUUUAUGUAUUUUGGAUAUUAGCCCUGUGUAGGAUGUAGGGUUGGUAAAGAUCUUUUCUUAUCCUGUAUGGUGCAGUUUUGUCCUAAGUACAGUGUCCUUUGCCUUACAGAAGCUUUGCAGUUUCAAGAAGUCCCACUUAUUAAUUCAUGAUCCUAGAGCCUGAGCUAUUAGUGUUGUGUUCAGGAAUUUGUCUCCUGUGCCAUUGAGUUCAAGGCUAUUCCCCACUUUCUCAUCUGUUAGAUUUAGUAUGUCCAGUUUUAUUUGACUUCUUUGAUCCACUUGGACUUGAGUUUUAUGCAAGGUGAUAAGUAUGGAUCUGUUUACGUUCUUCUACAUGCAGACAUCCAGUUAUACCAGCACAAUCUGUUGAAGAUGCUUUCUUUUUUCCAUUGUAUGGUUUUGGCUUCUUUGUCAAAAAUCAAGUGUCCAUAUACUGUAGGAAAUUUUGAACAGCAGAGGAUGUUGUAGUGAGAUUGUCUUGACCUUGAGUGGAACACUUGAUAGCGUCAUACAUCCCACCCCAAUAACAGAAAGCAAUAGUUGACUAUAAAUAUCUAAAUCUGAGGGUGAGAACAGCUUUUCUGAGGCAGGGUCUUACUGUCUAGCUAUCUAGCUUGCUAUGGAGAUUAGACUGGCCUUAGAUGUAAAGAUCUGCCUGCCUCUGCCUCCUGCUGUCUUUUAAGGAUUUAUAUUUAUUUUUUAUAUUUUUUCAAGUUUUUUUAAAGAUUUAUUUACUUUAUGCAUAUCAGUACACUGUUGACGUCUUCAGACACACCAGAAGAGGCCAUCAGGUCCUCAGGUCCUCAGAUCCUCAGAUCAGAUGGUUGUGAGCCACCAUGUGCUUGCUGGGAAUUGAACUCAGGACCUCUGGAAAAACAGUCAGUGCUCUUAACCACUGAGCCAUCUCUCCAGCCCCUAUAUUUAUUUUUUAAAUUAUGUGUAUUUAUCUAGGCAGAUAAGUGCAGGAGCGUGGCAGUGAGGGCAGAAAACGGAGUCAGAUCUCCUGCAGCUAGAGAUGGAGGAAGUUGUGAGCCACUCCAUGUAGAUGCUAGGAAAGGAAUCCAGGUCCUCUGAAAGAACAAGAUAUUCUUUAACAGCUGAGCCAGAACCAUCUCUCCAGCCCCAAGACCGCCUUCUUAGAGCCGGAUCGUUCAGUAGAUGCAGUAUGUCUAAUUUAAUCAUUCUGAUAACAUUUCACAUUAACGAGUAUUGUCCUUGCUAGACUUUCUAUUGCUGCUGUAAAACGGUGCCAAAAACAGCUUGGAGAAGAAAGGGUACUUCAUCUUACCACUUUGUAGUCCAUCUGACAUAAGUCAGGAAUUCAAGCAGAGGCAUGGAGGUCUGCUGCUCACUAGCUUUUCCCUCAGGGCUAGUUCAGUUUGCUUUCUUAUACAACAAAGUACAGCAUGCCCAGACAUGGGCCCUACCACAUCAUCAUCAAGGCAAUACUCAUAGACUUACCUUCAUGCAUAUAUAUGUAACCAAUUUAUUGUGUGGCCUUGGCUAAAAGUUUCCCUCCACUUUUUCAUAAAUUAAUUUCUCUAGCAUUCACGUUUUUUAUACAAUGAACUUAAAUUGCUUUUUUUUUUUCCUAAGCGAACUGCUUCUUGUUUUUCAGCUUUUCAGGUUAGAUGUGUUUAAAGCCAGAGAUCUUGCUCAAUACUUGAAUUUUCUAGUAUUUUUUUUAACUAACAGGUGUUGUGUUUAUAUAUGCUGGACUCAGUUACUCCAUAUUUCUAACUGUUGGUAGCCUGGAAUAUCUGGUACUAAAGACUGAUUGUAUGAUUGAGUUUUGUAUUCAGCGCAUCCCCAUCAAUCCUUAUCUGUAAUAAUACAACUUCAUUUUCCAGAAACUUCAUUAUAAAAUAGAAUUGUCACCAC
rnacentral:lncRNA from 1 species